CGGUUUUCUAUGUGGUGAAUAUUUGACCCGGUUAAUUGGUAAUAGAAGGGUUUCUUUCUGCUGUUUCCCUCUUCUUCCCUUAAAAGGAAGGCAGGUUUUUUAAAGCAAUUUUUGAAUUUAAAAAAAACCUGAAACAGAAAGUAAAAGAUGUCUCUAAGAGUCAUUAGUGAUCCUGCCAAACCUGAUUUCUCAAGCUACAGAUAAAGCCUUUAAGAUACAAGUUCUGGCGUUAUUUAUCUUGUUACAUAUGUAGUAAGAAGUACAUUAGUCCGUCUAUCAGUUUCAUCAGAUAAGAAAGUAAACUGGGGAGCCGAGGAGAUAGCAUAAAGAUCAUGCAAAAGACUUGAAUAUCUAAGGCUCUGAAGUCCGAAAUUCAACCCCUGCCCCCUCCCCCAUAAGCCAGAGUCUAGCAGUGCUCUAUUCUCUCUCUGUACCUUUCUCUCUGUAUCUCUAGUCUCUCUGUAUCAGGGUAUGUGUUUUAUUAAAAUAAAUACGUACAAUAUUCAGAAAAAGGAAAGUAGGCUGGAAGAGUGAAGCUGAAGCUAAACAUUAAAUACAGUACAGUUGCCGGAAUCAUAUGAUGAUGAUUUAAGACAGCUAACUGACAUGACUACUGCUCUUUAGCAAGUUUGAAGUGUAAUAAGAGACUACUUAAAAAUUAUUAUUGACUUAGCAAAUUAUGAAGUCUUAAGGCUAUAGCUUCACACCGGUAAGUGUGUAUUAAAGCUCACUGUACCCAUCGCUAAAGUUCUCUACUUUCUGAUAGCCACUAUCAUUUACACAAUGUCUCAAGACUCGUUUUUUUUUUUUUUUCCUAAAUUGAUUUGCUUUAAUUAUCUGUGUUCUAUAUAUGAGUGAAACUAUCUGGUAAUUGAGGAUAUAUUUACUAGAGAGGUUUAUCAGAGCUAAAAGGAGGGCUAGUCCUAAGAAAAGUAGUCCAGUGUAAAAAAUAAUCCAGUGGUGCCUCCCACCCCAUGUACCAUUGCAAAAGGGGGCUAGGAACUCUGCUCAAGAGAAAACAGUACAGUGUUGAAGCAUUUAUUUUAGUGGACAUGUAUUUUUUCUUCUAACGUUUUUGCUUUACUUUCAUUGUAUUCUUUUUAUAUUUGAUAGGACAUUGAGAGAGAUUGAGAGGGGCGAGGGAAAAGAAAGGGGGUAGGGAGAGAGAGAGAGGGAGAAGGAGAGGGAGAGGGAGAGAGAGAGAGACCUGCAGACUUGCUUCAUUGCUUGUGAAGCUUCUUCCCUGCAGGUGGGGAGUGAGGGCUCAACCAAGUGUGCCACUGCCUGGCCCUUGAGUAUAUGGAGCUCAUGUUAUUUCUCUGGCAGAUACAGGCUAGCUGUAAGGAAACGCAAGGAAAAGGGCAUACCAUCUAUUAUUAAAAUGUCUCUCUUGUGGAUACAUGGGCCUAGUGUCUCCACCUGACUAUGGUUUUUUCAUGCUGUGACCGCAUGAAGGCAGUAAUGUAGGGAGGUCAAUAUUUCAACGUACUUCACGCUGAACAUUUUAUGGCUGGCAUAUACCUCAGUAAUAUUCCACUCCCUUUCUCUUGUCCCUUUCUCUCUCUCUCUUUUAAUUUUAAUUGUCUUUAUUUAUUUAUUGGAUAAAGACAGAAAUCGAGAAAGAAGAGGGUGAUAGAGAGGGAGAGAGACAGAGAGACACCUGCAACACCACUUCACCACUCACAAAGUUUUCCCCCUGCAAUUGGGAAAACUAGGGGCUCAGACCCAGGUCUUUGCACCUUGUAACAUGUGUGCUCUACCAGGUGGUCUUUCUCUUUCUUCUUUCUAGUAACAGGAACUCACACAUGCUGUUUCACUGCUCUUUUUUCAUUCUUUUUAUUUCAGAGACAGAGGAGAGAGAGGGAUGCCACCCCACCACAGCACUGGAGCUUCCCCUACAGUUGUGGUGCUCCCAUGUGGUGUCAGGGUUCAAGCCUACCCUCCCACUGGCACAUCCCCCCUACUCUCAGCAUGGCACCAUACUGGACCACUGUUCAGCACUGGCUUGUGGUUGUGCGGGGAUCGAAUCUGGAUAGUGAACCGAGUUAUGAGUUCUUGAUGUUGAAGCAUUGGUGCCUGGUGCUGCAGAAACCACCAGGUUCCAGAUGAUACUAUGAUGCCAACUUGACUUUCCUGAACAGCCAACCCCACCAAUGUGUCCUGGAGCCCUGCUUCCCUGGAGUCUUGCCCUACUAGGGAAAGAGAGAGAUAGGCUGGGAGUAUGGAUCAAACUGCCAAAGCCCACGUCCAGCAGAGAAGCAAUUACAGAAGCCAGACCUUCCACCUUCUGCACCCCAUAAUGAUCCUGGGUCCAUAUUCCCAGAGGGAUAAAGCAUAGGAAAGCUUUCAAGGGAGGGGAUGGGAUACAGAACUCUGGUGGUAGGAAUUGUGUGGGAUUGUACACU